UGCAAAUGAUGUCUUCUCACGAUGGUCUUCCAAGUCUGUGGCAUUGACGACAACGCCUUUAGGCAUUACUGAUGCAGUUAA